rnacentral:rRNA from 1 species
UGAGAGUUUGAUCCUGGCUCAGAACGAACGCUGGCGGCAGGCCUAACACAUGCAAGUCGAGCGCACCUUCGGGUGAGCGGCGGACGGGUUAGUAACGCGUGGGAACGUACCCUUUUCUAAGGAAUAGCCACUGGAAACGGUGAGUAAUACCUUAUACGCCCUUCGGGGGAAAGAUUUAUCGGAGAAGGAUCGGCCCGCGUUAGAUUAGAUAGUUGGUGGGGUAAUGGCCUACCAAGUCUACGAUCUAUAGCUGGUUUUAGAGGAUGAUCAGCAACACUGGGACUGAGACACGGCCCAGACUCCUACGGGAGGCAGCAGUGGGGAAUUUUCCGCAAUGGGCGAAAGCCUGACGGAGCAAGACCGCGUGAGGGAGGAAGGCUCUUGGGUUGUAAACCUCUUUUCUCAGGGAAGAAGCUCUGACGGUACCUGAGGAAUCAGCCUCGGCUAACUCCGUGCCAGCAGCCGCGGUAAUACGGAGGAGGCAAGCGUUAUCCGGAAUUAUUGGGCGUAAAGCGUCCGCAGGUGGCGAUUCAAGUCUGCUGUCAAAGCACGGGGCUUAACUCCGUAAAGGCAGUGGAAACUGAAUAGCUAGAGUGCCGUAGGGGUAGAGGGAAUUCCCGGUGUAGCGGUGAAAUGCGUAGAGAUCGGGAAGAACAUCGGUGGCGAAAGCGCUCUACUGGACGGCAACUGACACUCAG